rnacentral:rRNA from 1 species
GCUGAGGACUCUGGUGGGACUGCCAGCGUAAGCUGCGAGGAAGGCGGGGAUGACGUCAAAUCAGCACGGCCCUUACAUCCGGGGCGACACACGUGUUACAAUGGCGUGGACAAAGGGAGGCCACCUGGCGACAGGGAGCGAAUCCCCAAACCACGUCUCAGUUCGGAUCGGAGUCUGCAACCCGACUCCGUGAAGCUGGAUUCGCUAGUAAUCGCGCAUCAGCCAUGGCGCGGUGAAUACGUUCCC